rnacentral:lncRNA from 1 species
UGUGAGGGGAGGUGGUGGUGGCUGAUGGUGAGAACAUGGAUCCAAGCCCCUUGGAAACAUUGAAAAUAUGGAGCCCCUUCUCUUCCUGGUCCCCGCACUAUCCUUCAGACGGCCGUGCUGUGCCGAGCCGUCAAAGACCCUGUAAUAUCAACUCAACAAUGCAUGUACUACAACUACAGCUACGGCUACCAGUACAUCUACUACGGUGCAUGCAUUUAGUUCAGUCCCACAGAUACAUACAAUCUAAGAACAGGCAGGGGAGGUGUGAAAUGUUUUACUGGACAACAGGUGUUUUGGAGUUGUAACACAUUUCUUGAGAGUUGGAUAUGAGUUUGUUUCUUGAACUGUUUCAUCUGAACAAGCAAAAACAUGCAAACCAGCUGGUACUAACAGGAAGCUGGACACUGAGAGAGGAUUAAUAGGUGUGGACAAACCUUCCCGCUGAGCGUGCUCAGAAGAGUGUUUGAGAGGAGGUGUGCAGAUCCUAGCGUAAGAGAGGCGGGAAAGUAUGCCUCAGAGACACUCUCACCGCAGCCCCAACCAAGCAAGAGAAAAGACAACAGAAAUAUGACUGCUCACACUCACCACCACCAUCAGGAGCUCAUGUUACUAGAUUGGAAUAAAGCUGGCAAGUAUAAAGUACAG